UGAUUUUCAAAAUGGUGCGAUUUUGAGU
rnacentral:piRNA from 1 species